rnacentral:rRNA from 1 species
GAUGAACGCUAGCUACAGGCUUAACACAUGCAAGUCGAGGGGCAGCAUGGUCUUAGUUUGCUAAGGCCGAUGGCGACCGGCGCACGGGUGAGUAACACGUAUCCAACCUGCCGUCUACUCUUGGACAGCCUUCUGAAAGGAAGAUUGAUACAAGAUGGCAUCAUGAGUCCGCAUGUUCACAUGAUUAAAGGUAUUCCGGUAGACGAUGGGGAUGCGUUCCAUUAGAUAGUAGGCGGGGUAACGGCCCACCUAGUCUUCGAUGGAUAGGGGUUCUGAGAGGAAGGUCCCCCACAUUGGAACUGAGACACGGUCCAAACUCCUACGGGAGGCAGCAGUGAGGAAUAUUGGUCAAUGGGCGAGAGCCUGAACCAGCCAAGUAGCGUGAAGGAUGACUGCCCUAUGGGUUGUAAACUUCUUUUAUAAAGGAAUAAAGUCGGGUAUGCAUACCCGUUUGCAUGUACUUUAUGAAUAAGGAUCGGCUAACUCCGUGCCAGCAGCCGCGGUAAUACGGAGGAUCCGAGCGUUAUCCGGAUUUAUUGGGUUUAAAGGGAGCGUAGAUGGAUGUUUAAGUCAGUUGUGAAAGUUUGCGGCUCAACCGUAAAAUUGCAGUUGAUACUGGAUAUCUUGAGUGCAGUUGAGGCAGGCGGAAUUCGUGGUGUAGCGGUGAAAUGCUUAGAUAUCACGAAGAACUCCGAUUGCGAAGGCAGCCUGCUAAGCUGCAACUGACAUUGAGGCUCGAAAGUGUGGGUAUCAAACAGGAUUAGAUACCCUGGUAGUCCACACGGUAAACGAUGAAUACUCGCUGUUUGCGAUAUACUGCAAGCGGCCAAGCGAAAGCGUUAAGUAUUCCACCUGGGGAGUACGCCGGCAACGGUGAAACUCAAAGGAAUUGACGGGGGCCCGCACAAGCGGAGGAACAUGUGGUUUAAUUCGAUGAUACGCGAGGAACCUUACCCGGGCUUAAAUUGCAGAUGAAUUACGGUGAAAGCCGUAAGCCGCAAGGCAUCUGUGAAGGUGCUGCAUGGUUGUCGUCAGCUCGUGCCGUGAGGUGUCGGCUUAAGUGCCAUAACGAGCGCAACCCUUGUUGUCAGUUACUAACAGGUUCCGCUGAGGACUCUGACAAGACUGCCAUCGUAAGAUGUGGGGAAGGUGGGGAUGACGUCAAAUCAGCACGGCCCUUACGUCCGGGGCUACACACGUGUUACAAUGGGGGGUACAGAGGGCCGCUACCACGCGAGUGGAUGCCAAUCCCCAAAACCUCUCUCAGUUCGGACUGGAGUCUGCAACCCGACUCCACGAAGCUGGAUUCGCUAGUAAUCGCGCAUCAGCCACGGCGCGGUGAAUACGUUCCCGGGCCUUGUACACACCGCCCGUCAAGCCAUGGGAGCCGGGGGUACCUGAAGUGCGUAACCGCGAGGAGCGCCCUAGGGUAAAACUGGUG